rnacentral:lncRNA from 1 species
GCCUCCCGUCUCCAUGGGAACGAUCUGAGCGUCUACUCCGCGUCCUGGGGCGUCGGUUUCGGUCCCGCCCGGCUGCGGCCGUUGUUUGCUGGGACAGUCCUUGGGCCGGUCUCCGUCCCUGUCCAGAGGCUCCGUACGUGAGGCGGACUCUCGGGAGCACCGAGCCGGGCGCGGAUAAGGGCGAGGACAGCUGUUGCAGGAACGGGGGCAGAAAAGGAGGACCAGGGGCCGAGAAGCCGCUCUGGCUACGAAAUCUCAGACACCGUUGUAAAUGGGUGCUUCACAGCCGCCCGCCCCACGUUAAAACUGAAGAAGAGGUGCAAGGAGGCGGAAGCAGCUUGGGCCUCGGGACCGAGGGUCCUGUGAUCAGCAAGGGAGGACCAGAGAGGCUCAUGCCUCCGUUUUACAGCUCAGCCUCCUCGACCCUCCACCCUUCCCCAAAAAAGGAGCACAAAGGAGCAAGCAGGGGUCACGCCUUUCCUCACAGUCUGACCCGGGUGAGUAGGGGUCUUGUCUCAUCUCCCUCGACUUCUCCAUGGACUGUGGGAGUAGCUGAAGUGGCUGUGGGGACGGAGGGAGCAGACUGA